GUAGGGUGCGAGCGUUGUCCGGAAUUAUUGGGCGUAAAGGGCUCGUAGGCGGUUUGUCGCGUCGGGAGUGAAAACCAGGUGCUUAACACCUGGCUUGCUUUCGAUACGGGCAGACUAGAGGUAUUCAGGGGAGAACGGAAUUCCUGGUGUAGCGGUGAAAUGCGCAGAUAUCAGGAGGAACACCGGUGGCGAAGGCGGUUCUCUGGGAAUGACCUGACGCUGAGGAGCGAAAGUGUGGGGAGCGAACAGGAUUAGAUACCCUGGUAGUCCACACCGUAAACGUUGGGCGCUAGGUGUGGGGUCCCAUUCCCACGGAUUCCCGUGCCGCAGCUAACGCAUUAAGCGCCCCGCCUGGGGAGUACGGCCGCAAGGCUA
rnacentral:rRNA from 1 species